GCGCGCGUAGUUAAGUGGUAUAACGCUGUCCUGAUAAGACAGAGGCCCUUGGUUCGAUUCCAAGCGCGCGCA
rnacentral:tRNA from 1 species